AUGAUAUUCCAUUUCUUGAAAAUACAGAUAGUUUAUACAAUAAGCUUGCACGAAUGAUUUACGUGUACGUUAAACGAACACAUGUACAUACACGUUCUACGCAUACAUAUGCGUCGCUCCCCUAGUCCGUGAAGUGCAAAUGGAUUGCAAUCGUCGAUGUUCCGAGAAAUCGUUUUAGCAUGAUAGAUCGAUUCUUAGAAGUGAAAACUACCUUGACAUCAAAUGCCUAUCAAAUAGCGUAUUGUGUUUGUAAGGUCGUAGCAUAUUUUCUCAAAAUAACAUGUUUCUACGAUAUCAUCGAGUUUACAUCUUAUUUUACCGCGAAAACCUCGUAAAUCGUAAAUACACUAGAAUUUGAUUUAUUCAUCCCUUUGUUGGAAAUUUGAAGAUUCCUUGAAGAAUUUCUAAUAUUGACAGUGUCUCGAGGUCUUCUAACAUAGGAGUAAGUUAAAUCACUAAUAGGUCGGAGACUUCGAGAGAAGAUGACGGAUACAAAACCUGAAAGCAAUCGGACAUCGGGAACUCGUGCUGCAUUCGCGUUAACUUUUUCUCAUUUUCCAACAUAAUUGUAUUUCAUUAGUUUAGAAAUACUGUUAAACUUUUCUUGACUAAAAAACAGUGUCUCGGAUGAAUAAUGAUUAGCUUUAUGUGUUACUUCUGAAAAUAUACACGAAAUCUGUGGACUUGACUCACCAUUGAUUACAAUAUAUGCUCGAAUAAAAUUUUUGCAAGGGUGUCAAACUUUGCACUUUUUCGGUAUCACGAGCAUAAUCUCGGAUUUGAGAACUUACUGAUGUGGGGAUUACCAAGAUUGAGAAUAUGGUAUCAUUAAGUAAAGCAUUUUACGAUAACUUUUAACGGAGUUACAGUUGUUCAAAGAUUAAUAAUAUUUCAGUAAAAAAUGACUUAUGCUUUAAUUUUGAUGUCGACUGUAUAAUGUUCAUGCCACACCUGAACGUUGUCGAUGCACGCGAACAUACGACACUUGGUAUCGGCUUUCGCUUUAGAUGUUCAUUAAUUGCAUAUGUAUGCAUACGUAUCAUGUAAUGUAUUCUAUAUGUGCAUACAUAUGUGUAUACGUAUAAAGGUCAUGCACUCCAAGUUCAUCCUUUUGCAAAUUAUAUUCACCUUUUUUUUAAAAUUAAAUUCACCUUUUUUCGUAUCAAUUUCAUUUUUCCACGAGUUGUUUCUUAUUUUCACUUCUCAGAAAAUUUACCGAGGUUUGAUGUAUAUGCAUACAACAUAUAUGUAUAGGAACACGUCUUCAUUCGAUGGCUCGUCGGGACCGAACAUACAAAUAGUGCCCGACAAUGACGAAUUGUGCAACCAGGAGACUAAUUAUCGGUUAUUACGCGUUGACAUGCUACUUGGUUGCAUCAGCAGCCCAUUUAAAAGACUACAUGACACGUGCAAUCAAGUAAAAGAGUUUCAACGGAGGAUGAAAGAAUGGCCUGGCGAAGACAAAAAUUAGCAGUCUGAUAGAAAAUUUCAUAAGAUUAAGGGAACGUUGAGGUUCCACAGAAUAAUGCGAUACUUUCUUUCUGCGAAAGUUACUAUGUAGUACACAUUGCGUACGGUUAGAUUCGCAUGUCGGGCACUACGCUGUUUUUAGCUAACAUGCAAGCAAAUUAUACUCUUGAGGAGUUAUGUGUGCAGCUUUUUCUGGGCGUUGACCUACAAAAAAGAAAAUCAAAAUAAGAUUAAAGCGACAUAGAUUUGGUAAAAAAAUAUACGUAUGCCUAAGAUGUGACUGAUAUAUAAUUUGUGUACUAUCAUGUUAUUUAUGUAUACAAAUUUCUGAUUUAUCGGAAUAUCAUUUAUUAUUUCAGAAUAUUGUAUCUAUUUGCAUACAAUGACAGAGGAACUAGUAGUUGAACUUUUCUUGGUUCAACGUUAUCCGAAGGUCAUGCUAUGUCUAUACCAGAAGUCAAUUCGCCUUUGUUUUCGCGCUUAUGAACGGAAAGUAUAAUAGUAUGAAGCACAGAUACUUAUCAUUUGAAGGAAAUGUGGGGUUCCUGAGGUCAUUUGAAGUAACUUUUUUC